AGCAGCAUGGUGCAGUGGUAGCGCGCGGGGCCCAUAUAAGCACUUCCGAGUUUUCUGAAACCCCGAGGUCACUUGAUUGAAACAAGUUGCUGCUA